rnacentral:sRNA from 1 species
AUAGAUCUAGUCAUGCUGUAUAAUUCAAUGCCAUCAAAUCCACAUACAAAGAUGUGGUGUAUAUGUAUAAACUUGUAUCUGAAAAUCAAAUGUACAGUAUACAGGACUUGCUUCCCCCUUCUUACAUUGACAUAGUUGUCUUCCUUGUGCUUGCAGGAUUAUUAAUACUAGAUAAAGCGGCAUUUUUCUUAUACAUGUAGUUAUAAUUGUGUGUACUGGAUUUCAUUCUUUAGAAAUCUUUUGGGAUUUUAUGGUUUUUUUCUCCUAAUGUUUAAUUUUUUUCUUUUCAAUACAUGUACAGAAACAAUUUCCUACAGUUGUAUGUCCUGUUAUUUCAACAAUGAAGAAUUCAUUUAUUAUUCUUCUUUAAAAGUUUUGUUUUAUUGUUUUAUUAAUUGAUGUUAUGUAUUUAAAAAAAAAAAUUUACUGAAAUCUUAGAAUAAAUUAUAUAAC